rnacentral:rRNA from 1 species
AUUGAACGCUGGCGGCAGGCCUAACACAUGAAAGUCGAACGGUAACAGGAAGCAGCUUGCUGCUUCGCUGACGAGUGGCGGACGGGUGAGUAAUGUCUGGGAAACUGCCUGAUGGAGGGGGAUAACUACUGGAAACGGUAGCUAAUACCGCAUAACGUCGCAAGACCAAAGAGGGGGACCUUAGGGCCUCUUGCCAUCGGAUGUGCCCAGAUGGGAUUAGCUAGUAGGUGGGGUAACGGCUCACCUAGGCGACGAUCCCUAGCUGGUCUGAGAGGAUGACCAGCCACACUGGAACUGAGACACGGUCCAGACUCCUACGGGAGGCAGCAGUGGGGAAUAUUGCACAAAGGGCGCAAGCCUGAUGCAGCCAUGCCGGGUGUAUGAAGAAGGCCUUCGGGUUGUAAAGUACUUUCAGCGGGGAGGAAGGGAGUAAAGUUAAUACCUUUGCUCAUUGACGUUACCCGCAGAAGAAGCACCGGCUAACUCCGUG